UACAGAGGUCUCAAGCGUUGUUCGGAUUCAUUAGGCGUAAAGGGUGCGUAGGCGGCGCGGUAAGUCGGGUGUGAAAUUUCGAGGCUUAACUUCGAAACUGCAUUCGAUACUGCCGUGCUUGAGGACUGGAGAGGAGACUGGAAUUUACGGUGUAGCGGUGAAAUGCGUAGAUAUCGUAAGGAAGACCAGUGGCGAAGGCGGGUCUCUGGACAGUUCCUGACGCUGAGGCACGAAGGCCAGGGGAGCAAACGGG
rnacentral:rRNA from 1 species